AUGAAAAUCCAGGGGUCUUUGCUUCCAGCCAUAGUGCUUCUGCUUCUUGGCUUUGGAUUGAGAAAUGGUAAAGCCAGUGAUACACCCCCUGCUCAUUAUGACACCGCUUUCCUCAACAGGACUAGUUUCCCAGCAGGUUUCAUAUUUGGGACAGCUUCAUCAUCUUACCAGUAUGAAGGUGCUGCUCAAGAUGGUGGCAGGGGACCAAGCAUAUGGGAUACCUAUACCCACAGAUAUCCAGACAAGAUUAAGGACGGUAGCAAUGGAGAUGUAGCUAAUGAUGAAUAUCACCGCUAUAAGGAAGAUGUAGGGAUUAUGAAGAACAUGGGGUUGGAUGCAUAUCGGUUCUCUAUCUCAUGGUCCAGAUUGUUACCAAAUGGAAAGCUAAGUGGGGGAGUGAACAAGAAAGGAGUCAAAUACUACAACAAUCUCAUCAAUGAACUCCUACGCAAUGGCAUAAAACCAUUUGUGACCCUCUUCCACUGGGAUCUUCCCCAAACUUUAGAAGAUGAGUAUGGCGGUUUUUUAAGCCCUCACAUUGUCAAUCAUUUUAGGGACUACGCAGAGCUUUGUUACAAGGAAUUUGGUGACAGGGUAAAGCACUGGAUCACGUUUAAUGAGCCAUAUAGUUAUAGUGCUGGUGGUUAUGCAGCGGCAAUUUUGGCACCAGGACGCUGUUCUGAUUGGCAACAGCUAAACUGCACCGGUGGGGAUUCCGGUACUGAACCAUAUUUGGUAGCACACCACCAGCUCCUUGCUCAUGCAGCUGCAGUAAAAUUAUACAGGCAAAAAUAUCAGUCAUCUCAAAAGGGAUUGAUAGGGAUUACUCUAGUUUCAAAUUGGUAUGUGCCGGUUUCGGAGGCAAAGCACCAUAAAAAUGCUGCACUAAGAGCUCUAGAUUACAUGCUUGGAUGGUUUAUGGAUCCCUUGACAAAUGGAGAUUAUCCACACAGCAUGAGGUCUCUAGUUGGAAACCGAUUACCAAAAUUCACAAAGGAGCAGUCCAAAUUGUUAAUUGGAUCAUUUGAUUUUCUGGGAUUGAAUUAUUACACAGCUAAUUAUGCAGCCUAUGCACCUCAACAUAAUUCUGUCAAUGCAAGCUACUUAACAGAUGCUCGUGCUUCUCUUUCAUCUGUGCUUAAUGGAAUUCCCAUUGGACCAAAGGCUGCUUCAGACUGGCUAUACGUUUAUCCAAGAGGAAUUCGAGAUCUUUUGCUCUACACAAAGACAAAAUAUAAUGAUCCACUCAUAUACAUUACUGAGAAUGGUAUUGAUGAGUACAAUGAUCCGCAAUUAUCACUUGAAGAAGCCCUUAACGACACGCAGAGAAUCGACUACUACUAUCGCCACCUGUAUUACCUUCAAAGAGCAAUCAAGGAUGGUGUGAAUGUGAAAGGAUACUUUGCAUGGUCACUGCUAGACAAUUUUGAAUGGAAUUCUGGUUAUACAGUCCGAUUUGGAAUCAACUAUGUAGAUUACAAAAAUGGGCAGACUAGGCACCCAAAACUUUCUGCACACUGGUUCAAAGGUUUUCUGAAGAAAACGUAAAGAAAUUUUUGGCCACGGAUAUGUAGUAAAACAUGUCAUUUGCAAUGA